rnacentral:rRNA from 1 species
AGCGGAGGAAAGAAACCAACAGGGGAUUGCCUUAGUAACUGCGAGUGAAGCGGCAAAAGCUCAAAUUUGAAAUCUGGCGUCUUUGACGUCCGAGUUGUAAUUUGGAGGGGCAUCUUCGGAGUUGGCGCCGUCCUAAGUUCCUUGGAACAGGACGUCAUAGAGGGUGAGAAUCCCGUGCCUGGAUGGCUGUCCAUCUCCAUGUGAAGUGUCUCCGACGAGUCGAGUUGUUUGGGAAUGCAGCUCAAAAUGGGUGGUAAAUUUCAUCUAAAGCUAAAUAUUGGCGAGAGACCGAUAGCGCACAAGUAGAGUGAUCGAAAGAUGAAAAGCACUUUGAAAAGAGAGUUAAAAAGUACGUGAAAUUGUUGAAAGGGAAGCGCUUGAGACCAGACUCAAUCUUUGGUGAUCAGCUGUGCUUCUGUACAGUGCACUUGCCAUUGAUUGGGCCAGCAUCGGUUCUGACGGCGGGAUAAAAGGCAGAGGAAUGUGGCUCUCUUCGGGGAGUGUUAUAGCCUCAGUCACAAUGCCGCCAGUUGGGACCGAGGACCGCGCUUCGGCUAGGAUGCUGGCGUAAUGGUCUUAAGCGACCCGUCUUGAAACACGGACCAAGGAGUCUAACAUCUAUGCGAGUGUUCGGGUGGAAAACCCUUGCGCGUAAUGAAAGUGAACGGAGGUGGGAACUCGCAAGAGUGCACCAUCGACCGAUCCUGAUGUCUUCGGAAGGAUUUGAGUAAGAGCAUAGCUGUUGGACCCGAAAGAUGGUGAACUAUGCCUGAAUAGGGUGAAGCCAGAGGAAACUCUGGUGGAGGCUCGCAGCGGUUCUGACGUGCAAAUCGAUCGUCAAAUUUGGGUAUAGGGGCGAAAGACUAAUCGAACCAUCUAGUAGUGGUCCUG